GACGAGGGACCCUAGCGUUGUUCGGAAUCAUUGGGCGUAAAGCGGGUGUAGGUGGCUUUGUAAGUCAGGUGUGAAAGCCUGGGGCUCAACCCCAGAAGUGCAUUUGAUACUGCGAAGCUUGAGUGCCGGAGAGGUUACCAGAAUUCCAGGUGUAGUGGUGAAAUACGUAGAUAUCUGGAGGAAUACCGGAGGCGAAGGCGGGUAACUGGCCGGACACUGACACUCAGACCCGAAAGCGUGGGGAUCAAACAGG
rnacentral:rRNA from 1 species